rnacentral:rRNA from 1 species
CCUACGGGGGCAGCAGUGGGGAAUAUUGGACAAUGGGCGAAAGCCUGAUCCAGCCAUGCCGCAUGUGUGAAGAAGGCCUUCGGGUUGUAAAGCACUUUCAGUGGGGAAGAAAGCCUUGGGGCUAAUACCCUCGAGGAAGGACAUCACCCACAGAAGAAGCACCGGCUAACUCCGUGCCAGCAGCCGCGGUAAUACGGAGGGUGCGAGCGUUAAUCGGAAUUACUGGGCGUAAAGCGCGCGUAGGCGGUCUGAUAAGCCGGUUGUGAAAGCCCCGGGCUCAACCUGGGAACGGCAUCCGGAACUGUCAGGCUAGAGUGCAGGAGAGGAAGGUAGAAUUCCCGGUGUAGCGGUGAAAUGCGUAGAGAUCGGGAGGAAUACCAGUGGCGAAGGCGGCCUUCUGGACUGACACUGACGCUGAGGUGCGAAAGCGUGGGUAGCAAACAGGAUUAGAUACCCUAGUAGUC